AUUGAACGCUGGCGGCAGGCCUAACACAUGCAAGUCGAGCGAGCGGCGGACGGGUGAGUAAUGUAUGGGGACUGCCCGAUAGAGGGGGAUAACUACUGGAAACGGUGGCUAAUACCGCAUACUAUCGGAUAACCCAUAUGGGAUUAGCUAGUAGGUGGGGUAAAGGCUCACCUAGGCGACGAUCUCUAGCUGGUCUGAGAGGAUGAUAAUCGACACUCGGACUGAGACACGGUCCAGACCCCCAUGGAGGCAGCAGCGGGGAGUAAAGCACAAUGGGCGCAAGCCUGAUGAAGCCAUGCCGCGUGUAUGAAGAAGGCAUUAGGGUUGUAAAGUACUUUCAGCGGGGAGGCGUUACCCGCAGAAGAAGCACCGGCUAAUUCCGUGCCAGCAGCGGCGGCCAUAC
rnacentral:rRNA from 1 species